GUGCCAGCCGCCGCGGUAAUACCGGCAGCACGAGUGAUGGCCGCUAUUAUUGGGCCUAAAGCGUCCGUAGCCGGCCGGGCAAGUCCGUCGGGAAAUCCACCCGCUUAACGGGUGGGCGUCCGGCGGAAACUGCUUGGCUUGGGACCGGAGGACCCGAGGGGUACGUCCGGGGUAGGAGUGAAAUCCUGUAAUCCUGGACGGACCGCCGGUGGCGAAAGCGCCUCGGGAAGACGGACCCGACAGUGAGGGACGAAAGCCAGGGUCUCCAACCGGAUUAGAUACCCUGUAGUCC
rnacentral:rRNA from 1 species